GCUUCUUGUCGAGGGGCUGCAGAUGUGUCUGCUGUGUCAUAUGUGUGUUAGUACAUUCUAGAGAGAAAUUAUAUAUCUACACUCAUUGUUCUGACCUGUGAACGUUGAAUUAUUAGUAGGCUAAGGUG